CAGCACCUCAAGUGGUCAGGAUGAUUAUUGGGCCUAAAGCAUCCGUAGCCGGCGCUGUAAGUUUUCGGUUAAAUCUGUACGCUCAACGUACAGGCUGCCGGGAAUACUGCAGCGCUAGGGAGUGGGAGAGGUAGACGGUACUCGGUAGGAAGGGGUAAAAUCCUUUGAUCCAUUGAUGACCACCUGUGGCGAAGGCGGUCUACCAGAACACGUCCGACGGUGAGGGAUGAAAGCUGGGGGAGCAAACCGGAUUAGAGACCCGAGUAGUCC
rnacentral:rRNA from 1 species